rnacentral:rRNA from 1 species
CUACGGGGGGCUGCAGUGAGGAAUAUUGGUCAAUGGGCGAAAGCCUGAACCAGCCAUGCCGCGUGAAGGAUGACGGCCCUAUGGGUUGUAAACUUCUUUUAUACGGGAAGAAACACCUCUACGUGUAGAGGUUUGACGGUACCGUACGAAUAAGCAUCGGCUAACUCCGUGCCAGCAGCCGCGGUAAUACGGAGGAUGCAAGCGUUAUCCGGAUUUAUUGGGUUUAAAGGGUACGUAGGCGGAAACUUAAGUCAGUAGUGAAAUCCCGCAGCUUAACUGUGGAACUGUUAUUGCUACUGGGUUUCUUGAAUAUUGUUGAGGUAGGCGGAAUAAGUAAUGUAGCGGUGAAAUGCUUAGAUAUUACUUAGAACACCGAUUGCGAAGGCAGCUUACUAAGCAAUUAUUGACGCUGAGGUACGAAAGCGUGGGGAGCGAACAGGAUUAGAUACCCUGGUAGUC